rnacentral:lncRNA from 1 species
ACAUUGUGUCAAACGACUCCUAAAAUUUGUCAGUAUGAUCUUUGGCGUUGUCCUAUCAUAUAUAUUUAAUGGGUUCAACUAACUCUGUUUUUCGGCUGAUAGUAUGCAUAUAAAUUCACUCUUCUUAAACUUAUAAAAUUAAAUACUAGAAAUAUUGUUGGAAACAAAUGAAAGACUAAGUGAAGCGGAUGAAUAAACAAACAAUUAAAUAUAUGUCAUAGACAUAUUUUUAUCUAGGUAAUGCUAUAAAUGAAACGGAUGAAUAAAUAAAAAUUAAAUUUAUGUCAUAAACAUAUUUU